ACAAAUAAUACUAAAACCUGUUGUUGACACGCUUUUGUUAUAUAUUUACCUCAUAUAAAUGGUUUGUAUCUUUGAGAAAAGUUCGUUACCAUCCCAACAUGUUUCCGCACAUGCGGUCGGAACUGUGCUUCCGGUUUCUGUUGGUUUACUUGCUAAACUGAUCUCUUGAAAAAAUAACUCGUCGAAAAUAUUUUUUUUGUUUCCAAUGUAAUAUACGUGUUGUUAAUUUGCUUGUUAUAAGCUAGGACUUUGUUGUUAUUUUUGCUUAGCAGAGUUUAACGGAAGUUACGUGUUUUCCACAAAAGCCUCUUUACUGAGUGACAAAAACCCUCUAUAAUAGAAGAGAAGCUCAAGAUUUCAACAUUUUCUGAAGGGAGUUGCAGACAGAUUUCAAAACAAUUUAUUCUUGAGAGGAGGCACCACAGUUAAAGACAGUGUUUUGAAGAAUUUUGAACUUCCUGCUCACAAACUACAUACUUCUCCAGUUAGUCUGACAGGCUAUCAAUGAGAAUGCGGCAUUACAGGACACCACUGAAAACUAUACCACUAAAAACUGAUUAUUGCUGCAGUCAGAAGAAACAGAUUAACAGCAACUAUCUGCUUGAGACCAAGAGAUUGAGCACUGGGUUAAGACAUGGUUGCAGCUUGCCACAGACAGAGAUGAAGGUCGUUGGGCAAAAGAGAAGAUUUAAAGGCAUAGCUCACCCAAAAAUGGAAACUCAUUUACUUACCAUCAAGAUGUUUCAAACUCUAUCAAAUGUAUUUGUUCAGUUACUGACUGUUAUAAAUUAUACAGGUUUGGAACAACCUUUGGGUGAGCAAAAUUACAGUUUUAAUUUUAAUUAGUGAACUAUCCCUAUUGUGAGUUUUAUAAGUUUAUUAAGAAAUGUUGAGUAUUAUAUCAGAGUUUUGUAUGUAAGGAGAUGGUAGUUGUACGUUUGUGUGUUAAUAUAGAUGGUUUCAGUGGCAACAACAUAAAUCACUUUCAUGGCCCAAACUUAACUUCGGGUAGACCUCCACAUAGAUUCAAUAACAACCGAGUAUCUCUGGAGCAGUUUUUUUUCUGAUAACAAACAAAAUAAAUAACCAGUAAAUAGCCUUAGAUCAAAUCAUAGCUAAAGCAUUUCAACCAUUACAUUGAUCUAAUGUUACUGGGUAAAAUUAAGCUUUACAAUUUUAGCUACAGAUCUUUGAAAAUGUUUGUACGGUAUACUGUCCAUUUCCAGAAAGGUAAUAAAAACAGCGUGCACAGUGACGCUGCUGACGUGUUAUCCUCAGACAUGUUUGUGAAGAUUGUUUUGUUUAUAGCGUGCGUCUCCCUCAGACUGUAAAAAAAGCUUGGGAACAAGAAAAGCUUGGGCAAACAAGAUUACAUGUCAGCAGCGUCACUCCAGUGUUGUGCACGAGGUUCACAACAGACCUGGAAGAGAAGACGAUGCUGAAUAAAGUCAUAAUUUCUGUUAUUUUUGGACCAAAAUUUAUUUUUGAUGCUUCAACACAUUCUAACUGACCCACUGAUAUCACAUGGACUACUUUGAUGAUGUACAGUAUAUAUUUGAUCGUGUAUACACAUAUCUAAAACAUCUUAAACUGUUUCCGAAGAUGAACGGAGGUGUUACGGGUUUGGAAUGACAUGAGGGUCAUUAAUUACAUAAUUUUCAUUUUGGAUGAAAUAACCCUUUAAGUUUGGCCAGGUGUGUAACUGUGGCAACGCACAUGCAUCUAUGGGUUCCAGUAUAUCUUACUAUAUAACAUAUUAAUUUAACUAACAUGUUUGACAAAUAUAAUUAUGUUUAUUUAUAAAUUAUUAUCUGUAUUGGAUUUUUUAAAUGUUUAAUAAAGAAAUUUUGACUAUA